AUCCAUGAUUUCAAACAUAGCUUAUACUUAUACCGUAUCAUAUCAAUCAACCAUAAUAUUUAAUCAAAGCAUGAAACCAUUCAUGUCAAAAUAAACAAGCCAUUUUCGCAUGGCUUAUUAUAUAUAUACACUUCAUUCCAAAUAUAUUCAAAAGGGCAGUAGAGCCUAUACAUACCAUAGAUUUUAAAUUUAACUUUUAUAGGUACCGAUGGACGGACGAUAGUGUGAUUGACUAUGCUGCUGAUCCCCGAGCCCGUAACUAGCUUCCAAAACCUAUAAAACCGAAGGAAACACAUAUACACAAUAAGCUAUCACAACUUAGUAAGUCAUAAGCAAUUAAACAAUUUAAUGACGUUAAUAAUUCAAUAACAAAUCGAAUAAUGCAAUCAUAUUCAUAUAUACACAUUCGAGCUCGCAAAUCUUAUAUAUAUCAAAUAUAUAACUAUGAACCAAUUUCAGCUUGGCCAAAUAUACCUUUAAGUAAUAACAUAGUUAUUUUUUCAUCUUCAGAUCAUAUAACACUCUUUACCGAAUGUACUAAUUCAUAUAUAAAUGCAUAUAAAACAUAGUUAUGACUUCACACAUAUACUUACCCUUUGGCCGAAUAUAUAUAUAGGCCUUUUACACACACACACAUACUUUUGUAUCCCAAUUGAUAUAACCAACUAAAUUUGAUAGCAUAUAAUAAUUAAAUAUUACAUACUUAUACCAACAUAUACAUAUGUGUCACAUUUAUCAUUCAUCGGAUCAGUACAAUUUGUACUAAAUAAUUUAUCGAAGCAUUAAUAAAGUUGCACCAUUAGUGCUCUUCACUCAAUUAACCAAAUUGAUCUCGGUUUCGCACACUUAGUGCCCGUUAUUUAACAUCAUUAUUUAGUUUUGCACACUUAGUGCUCGUUAUUUAACAUCAUCAUUUAAUUCGCACACUUAGUGCUAAUCAUAUAGCCGUAGCUAUUUCAUACUCGCACACUCAGUGCUAAAUAUCAACAAAUCACAUUCACAUCUAUCCCUGCUUCUCAAACAUAUACAUAUUCGGUUACCACACACAUAUAUAUAUUUUGCAUAUUUCAUUUCAGCAUAUAUAAUUAAUAUUUAUCUAAAAUUUACAAUGUCUAUUUGCUUAUAAACUUACCUUGGAUGUCGUCGAUUGUUAAAUCGGCUACUCGACCACUUUUGUCUUUCCCCGAUCCAAUUCCGUUUUCUUCAGUUCUUGGUCUAAAUAAGUUCAAAUUUAACUAAUUUAACACACAUUCACUCAAUUUAAUCCAAAAACAAAAAAAUGGGCAAAUUACCAUUUUACCCCUACAUUUCACAUUUUUUACAAUUUAGUCCCUAUUUCACAAAAUACAAAAUAAACAAACUUUCAUUGCACAAUAGCUUGGCCAAAUAUGUGCUAAGCUCAUAUAAGUCCAUGCAUGUCAUUUAUUUUACAUUUUAGUCCCUCAAUUCAUUAUUUUUACAAUUUAACCCUAAUUACUCAAAAUCAUCAAAAAUUCAAUUACAACAUAUGUUUAUCCAUUUCAUAUCUUUUAUUUUCUAUCAUUUAACAACAAAAUAACAAGCUUUCAACAAUGGCAAAAUACAAAAUCAUCAUCAAAUUCAAAAAUUCAAUCAUGGGUCUAGUAGUUUUCAAAGCAACGAUCUCAAAAACAUAAAAAUUAUCAAAAACCGAAAUCGAAACAUACCUCAAAUUGCUUGAACAAGCGCCGAAUACAUAGCUUCCUUAUUUCUUUUUCUUUUCUUUUUGUUUCGGUUUGAAGAAAGAUAAAA
rnacentral:lncRNA from 1 species